UGGGGAAUCUUGCACAAUGGGGGAAACCCUGAUGCAGCGACGCCGCGUGAGCGAUGAAGCCCUUCGGGGUGUAAAGCUCUUUCGUCAGGGAAGAUUAUGACGGUACCUGGAGAAGCAGCUGCGGCUAACUACGUGCCAGCAGCCGCGGUAAUACGUAGGCAGCGAGCGUUGUUCGGAGUUACUGGGCGUAAAGGGUGUGUAGGCGGUUGUUUAAGUUUGGUGUGAAAUCUCCCGGCUUAACUGGGAGGGUGCGCCGAAUACUGAAUGACUUCGAGUGCGGGAGAGGAAAGUGGAAUUCCUGGUGUAGCGGUGAAAUGCGUAGAUAUCAGGAGGAACACCGGUGGUGUAGACGGCUUUCUGGACCGUAACUGACGCUGAGACACGAAAGCGUGGGUAGCAAACAGGAUUAGAUACCCUGGUAGUCCACGCCCUAAACGAUGCAUAUUUGGUGUGGGCAGUUCAUUCUGUCCGUGCCGGAGCUAACGCGUUAAAUAUGCCGCCUGGGGAGUACAGUCGCAAGGCUG
rnacentral:rRNA from 1 species